ensembl:lncRNA
GCUCCUGCCAUCUGUGAUCAGCGCUGCGGGCGCUUGCAGGCCAGGCCUGGGGGUCGGGAGUCUGGGCUGGACGCCGCGCUGGCGUUCUUGGUCAGCGGCCGAGAGGCUUUGAUCAGGGUGGUCCUGGCCUGGCCUGCUUUCCCCUCUGUAAAAUGAACGCGUGGGGUGAAUGCUAACCGCUGGGAGAAGACGGUCAGCGCUGCAGUGGCCGAGGCUUAUGUGGACAUUGUGCGUGGUGACACGGUGUGUGGAGACGUGCAUCUGUGACUGGAAGCAGAGACUCAACUUGGCUCCCCCAGCUCCUGUGUCUGUGUUACUCUCAGAGCCCUGGUCCCUCAUCCCCCAUUCAACAGGAAAGAUAAAUUCCCCCGAAGCAGCUGAGAUUCUGAAAACCCAGCUGCAGAGCCUGGUUACUCAGCACCUGUGUGCAGAGAUGCUGCUGAGCUUUGUCAGACUUGGCAUCCCACGAGGACAGAACGUGGCCUGCAGCCUGGGGCCUCCAUGAGACUCCUUCCUGCUGGCUCCAAAUCUCUCCCCAAGAACAGGGCAUGCAACGCCUCCUGGAUGAUUCAGGAUUUGCUUUAUUGGUACCAGUAUAAGCAGAUUUGGGUGCCAGCCACUCCGCAGGCUACCCUGGAGUCUUAGCUUGAAACGAUCAUCAAGGGGGCGGUUUCAGUCCUCAGGGCUGCUCAUGGGGUGGGGUGGGGAACUCCUGAUGGGCAGGGGUCCUCUUUCCUGUGGCCCCAGGAAUGACAAGCUGCUGACAGCUGUGUAGAAGGCUUGGGAAGAGCGGCAGUGCCUUCCAACUCCUCUGCAAUCUCCACGUCACCUAGGGUGGCAACGCGCACGGCCACCAGCACUCCUGUACAGUCGAGAGAUUUCCCUUUCAUUCUUGGACAAGGUAUCUGACCGCUCUGGGCCUCUCUUUCCCCCUCUAUUAACAUGGGGUUGUUAACAGCCAUUCCGCCUCCUGUGAAUUGCAUAUGUUAAUACCUUGGAAGCAUGUC